rnacentral:lncRNA from 1 species
CCAGGGUCAGCAGCUCAGUCACAGUCAAGGGUCACAGUGGAGCUCCGGGUCAGCGGCCCCUCCCUGGAGCUGCAGGCCCUCAACACGGGGCCUCCCCUGGUGGAAUCUCCACCCACUAUGCAUGUCCCUCCUUGCUCCCCAGUGGGAGGGCACCCUGGGAGCACAGCAGAACCUGGGGGAGGGGAGGGGGAGCCCUGAGAAGGCUGGCUUAGCCGUCUUGGGAGUGACUGUACAGCUGUGUGCAGGUGUGUGCGGAACACAGGUCCAGCGAUCCGGGAGAAGGAGCUGAAGGCAGAGUGGUCCUGGAGGAUGCGGGUGAGGUGGCAGGCAGCUCUUGGGGCUCUGGCAUGGGGCUCGGGCCAGGCUCCCUCCGUUCCCGGACAGACGGCACUGUGGGUGCGACAGCAGCUAAUGAAGCGGUCCUAUUAGGCGCAGAGUAACAGAAGAUACACAAAUUGGUCCGAAGCUCUUCAUGUGUUGUGGACAUUAAAAAUU